UUUUUUUUUUUUUUUUUUUUUUGGGGGUGCCAUCAGCAACGUGAAUGAACUCAGAAAACCCCACGAUAAAAUGCAAAGAAGAAAAAAGGUAUCCACUCGUGGUACUGAAGUCUCCUAGUUGUCCGUACUGGAGAGUCUAGACAACUCCACUCAAUCAACGAGUCCUCAAAUCUCCAACUCCUUUUUCCUUUCAGUCCAAAAUCAAACACCUGGUGGGUCUUCAUGAUUUCUCCUCAAUCUUUUUCACAUAAUUCAGAAUUACCCAUCAAGACAAAGCCAAGUAGUUUGAUAUUUUUCAAGUUGAUAAUUUUGUAGAGCAGUAGUAAUGAUAUUACCAGUAGCAAAGCUAGGAACACUUGCCUUAAAGACAAUCUGCAAACCCAUUGCUAGACGCAUCAAGAAAGAGGCUACCUUUCACCCUCAAUUUAGAUUGUUCAUCACCAAUAUUGCCCAGGUCUAGUUUCUACUUGAUGAUACUACAUCCCUUUUUGCAGCUCAGGUUUUUUAGCUAUUUAGUUCUUUUGUUUUUCUGGGUUAUAAUUGAAAUUGAAUGAUACUGCAAGAUAUCUUGAUUGUAAUGUUAAUGCUCAGUAAAUUCUGCUGCUGUAGAAUCUUGUAAGUUGGUGUAGUUAGAUUUGCUUUCCCCUUCAGUAUUAUCUUCUGAUAUUUCUUAGAAUUGAUCUUCUGAUUUGUCAUGAGUCGUCUGCAUUAUAUUUGUGGAAAAUAACAAGGAGCCCAGAUAUUCUAUGAAGGAUUGAUGGAAUGAUGUUUUGGAGAAUAAUUUCAAAGCUAUAACAUUAUUCGAAGAUAAAUAUAUAAUAAAACAAUUGGUGGCGUUAAAGAGGAAACAAAAAGCAUCGAGAAAGAAUAAGGCUAUUGUAUUUUUUAUUUGCUUUGGAUAGAAGCCAUUUGGAAACCAUUGUGACUGUAACAAAUGUAUUUAGGCCCUAAAGGACAUCACGAAAUGAUCUGAAACAUGUCACUGCUUUGUUAUUCAAUGUUGGCCCUUGCUUGGAAACAAAGAUUGUAGUUAUAAGAAGUGCACUCACACGUUUGCGUGAUAGCUGUAAGCAAAUAAUGACUCAGGGAACUUGAUAUUGCAUUAUUGCAAUCUGAAGCCAUACCUGUAUUGUGUCGAACUGUAAGGGUAUAAGGGCGUAGGAGAUCUGUAAAAGCUGAAUCUUUCAUCAGAGUUGGUGGAAGAAUCUGUGAGUAGUAUAUUAGAAUGAUGCUCUUUCUUCUCUGCUUAUGGGGAUUUUCUUUCCUGCAUAGACUUCACAGAUUCUUUUCUGUUCUUGCAUCAGGCAAACCACAGAUUAACAACAACUAUACAGAGGCAAAUUUAUGGACAUGCGACAGACGUUGCAAUUCGCCCUCUGAAUGAAGAAAAAGCUGUUCAAGCUGCUGCUGACCUGUUGGGUGAAUUCUUUGUUUUUACGGUAAUACUGAAUUUCUUCUCGUGUAUCAUUUUAGAUUGGGUCUCUGAGUUCAUUAUUCUUAAAGUCCUUUGUCUUGAACUUUUUUAGCGUGUAAUUGAUUUUUCUACCCUGUGGUUUGACUUGCUCUCAAUUUGCUGUGGUGAGGAUGUCCUGCCUUUUGGUCUAUUGUUGUUAAUAAUUGUUGUAUUAACAAAUAACAAUAGGUAUGUUUCUUUUCAGUGAUAUUUAGAAUUUGACCAUGCUUGACUAACUCUGAUGGUCAUUGUGGGUAGUGAUCCUGUCCACUUCAAGACAUAAAUGCCAUCUUGCUUUAUAUUUGAGCAAUUUUGUGCGUUCUGCUUUCUUUUGUUGUAUUUAACUCUUUCAACAAUAUAAAAGUACCAAUAUUUUAUGCCUGAAAGGACAGAACAAAACAUGCUUGUCCGACAAGAAAGAUUUAUAUAUCUUAGAAGGAUCUCACUGUUCUUGAAUUUUUUCCCCUUUAUGUAACUUUUAAAAUUGAAAAUAUUUGUCAUUAGGCUGUCAAUGAUUGUUCUACAAUACGCUUAAGUUGUUCUACAACAAAAUUUGUUGUUCUUUGUAUUUAAAGAAAGUUAAUUAAGAAGUAAAAGGUUUAAUUUUUUAUCACUACAAAUGAUGGUUGCAAAGAAAAACAAAAACUGACUGAAUCAAAUGGAGCACUUUUCUAGGCAAGAAGGAAGUAAUAAGAGAGUACACCUAUGAACAAAUUCUAUAUAUGGAAGUAAAAGAUUUGCACCUACAGUGCAAUGCUACAUAUGGUUAAAUGAAAAAUUAACCCUCUACGGACAAACUAAUAACACGAAGAACUAUGAAAAUUAAUUGAAGGUACAUUUAAAGAGGAGAAAGGACCAUAAUAUUUUGAGGGAAAAAAUCAAACGGAGGGGAGGGCAAGAAAGUAUAACAAAAUCUUUUGGGGAAAAGUUAGGAGAUAAAAUAAAAUUUAUAUAAUGUUAGAAGUAAAAAUGCAGUUUGUCAGAAGUUAGGGGCUACUGCUGCUGCUGCUCCCCCAUUGCCUCCGCCACUGGUGAUGGAUAUUGUGAGUUGUGACUCAACUAUAUCCAUGAAUCACGUGAAAGAGUGCAACUUGUAGAAUCAACCAACAGAUGGCACUUAAUUUUCAUGACUAUAUGGUGAAAAGUAGGAUCUCUUCUGAAGGACGACAUGCUUUAUACUUGUUCUCGUUUGUUUUCAAGUAAAGGUAACAAAUUUUACAGUUUUAGGCCAAAUUGGAAAUGGUGUAUUGUUGGGUGCAAGUAGUAAGAUUACCGUUCGGGAAACAAAUUGUAACAAGCACAGUUGUUUGGAGGUGUAAGAUGAAAUUAUUUACUUGUGUUAUUUUGUAGUGCUAAAACUGGAUGUGCAUACUCUUUCAAGUUAUUUGUUGUGAUUCUCUUUCUUUGUCUUUCUGCUUAAGACACUAUCUCAUGGUCCAUUUCUUUUUAUUAGGUAGUCGGAGUGGCUGUUCUCUUUGAAGUGCAAAGAAAUGCUAGAUCAGAAGCUAGAAAGGAAGAAAUGCGUAAACAAGAACUAGAGGUCUGUAUUUUUUGUUCAUGUAGUUUCUUUUUUCUCCUUUUCUGAUGCUUUUUGUCUCUAUUCUCUUUAAGAUUUCUCUUUCAAAAUAAUUAGGCGGUAUGUUCAAUGGGGAAAAUGAUUGUCUGGACUUUUAUGAUGACCUAUUAUUAAAAUAGUUCUCCAUUUUGCUGUGAUGAGCGCUUUUCUGUUGUCAUAUUCUGGUAUACAUCACUUUCCAAAGUCACUUGUUCCCUUUGAACUGUCUACAUAAAGAUAGCAACCGGAUCAACUGCCAAAAAAUGUAGGAUAUGGACAUUCCCCUGAUGGGAUCCUGUAAAUGUCCUACGCUUGUGAAAUUCUAAUGGUUUUGUGGACAUCUCAUCUGGAACGCCUUUGUUAGGUCGAAAAGAACAUUAUAAUGAAUUAAAUGGCACACUGUAAAGACUUGUGAAUAUUUAAAAAUCAAGAUGGGACACAUAUCAUAAAAUUGUUUGUUUGAAGGAAGGUAAAGUGGAUAAGGAGAAUUGAAUCUUGUUCUGUUAAUGACUUAUUCUUAUGGUAAGUUCAAUGUUCUGCACUGAUCAAUGCCAGUUGUUAUUGUUUCCUUGUUAUGGUGAGUCCUGUGUUCUGCAGUGAUGAAUUCCAUUCGUUAUUUUUUCUAAUCACCUCAUUUUUUAAAUUUACCUGUUUCAAUUUCACUAGUUCAUCAAAGUCCUUUUUAAGAAGUAUGGGAUAGGAACACUUCCAAUAUCCCAUGAUUUUUAUGGCUUACAUGUGUAAGGCUAUGACACUUGAAGGACAUCUGGUGUGAUAUUUCUUUUGCUAAUUGUAAAGUGAACAUGAGUUGUUCAACCACAUCGCUUGUUAAGAGACUUGUUAAGACUUGAACAUGGCUCACCAUUUUAUCUGUUGAAUAUUGUAAAGACUGCCUAUAUUUAAUCAUUCUGAUAUAUAGCAACUUGGAGUGCUCAGAAAAUAAAAGCAACUUGGAGGACCCUGUACACUUUGAUUUCCUCAUGGUCUCAUGGUGCAUGGUCAUUUGUGAUAAAGCAUAAAUGACUGUGGAGACCAUAUAAUGCAUAUGCUAAGAAAGUUGGUUGCCUUUAAACAACUCAUUGCUAUACUGUAGAUUGCUAAAUUACCAUCUAGAAACAUUGUGCAUCUAGUACUGAAAUAGGCUGCACAUGUCUGCUGUGAAAUUUUGAUAUGGCAGAUUAUCAUGGGUUCUUAGCUUCUGUUGCUUUGGUCAUUUGUGUCUGUGCAGUAUGCUAGCUAGCUAGGUAAAGCCAUACACUAUAGCUAGAAGAUGCUUAAUCAUAUCAUUCACAGGGAAGAGAAGUGCCUGUCUAUGCGACAUAGUUAUUGUCAAGAAUUUCUUGACAUUAUUCUUUUUGUUUUUUUUUUAUUUAAUACAUUGUUGAGCAAUCAAGCAGUAGUUUCUUGGUCCUUUUUUUUGCAGCAGAGUAUCAGAGUAAAGUCCAUGAAAUUAUCCCUUUGCUAACUUUGCGCAUUUUCUUCACUAAUUUGACAUGAAACAUGCUUAUUUCUUCAAUUAGUUUUUGAGCACGUAGGAAAUCAUGGUGUUAAACAUUUUUCUGCGCAGGAAACCGAGUAGAGUUGAGGUUAUUUCUCUCAAUGUGAAUUCCUUCUGCUUCUUUUUUUCAUAUGAGAAAUUAAUUUGUUGUCAUUCAUAUUAGGCAUUGAAGCAACGAGAUGAAGAUUUGUCCAAAGAAGUUGAGAUUCUCAAGUACAAAGUCGUGGAACUGGAGCACCUUGUUAAAGGACGAAGGCAUAAUAUUUUCAGCUUGACGCAAGCUGAUAGCAUGAAUGACAAAGUUAAAACUUGAUUUAUUGUCGUGUCAUGGCAGUAAAAACUUGUCCAAUGGGAGUCGAAAUACUCAGAAUGGAACUUUGACCAGAGAUGCAAAUUUUAGGCAUUUCUGAGAAUCUGUAGCUGCUCUUGCCAAACUAAUAUGACUCAAAAAUUCUUGACUCCUUGCGGGAGCAAAAUCAGAUAAUACAAGUUGUAGAAAGAUGUAUGUUCACCAUCUUUUUAUGUGGAUCAGCUGGACUAGAUAAAGCGCAUUUGGAUAUUAAACUUGCAAUAGGGAGCCGAAGCAGAGUUCUGUCUCUUUUGCUCUGCAUGUCUAUUAGCGCGAGUACAUUUAGCUGUACUCUAUUUUGUAGCAUUUUCCUAAUCAACCACCAUCAUCAGCCUCUGUUUCAUGUCAUUCCUUCCACAUUGAAAUCGCCAACCAAAAACCAGAACCACUUCAAGCAAUGGCUAAGCACAAUAUCCAGAGAGUUUAUUUGCAAAAUGAAAAGAUUUAUCAUGCUAUUAGACCACCAGAGUGCGAAUUUCGGGGACCAAAAAUCUGGUGGUUAUGGUUUCUUUUAUGAAACUCUUAUUUUUUUUUUUUUGGUUGGUUAUUGUGAUUUCAAUCUUUUUCUUGGUGGUAAACUCUUGCAAUUUAUAGGCAAAAACUAGUAAAUUAAAUCGGUGUUUUUUUCCCUCAAUUUUCUGGUUUCAACACCAUAUAUGAUUGGGCAAUUUAAUGUCAAUUUGACUCUGUGUAUAAAAGGAUUUGUUUUGAAGUGGUAAUUUGACAAUAUGGUUUUGUUGGAGCAAUGGAGCUGCAACAAAUGUAAAAGAGCAAUUGAAGGAAGAGUCGGGAUUUGGCAGUAAUAUAGUAGCAUUUUAAGGAAGCAGUUUUUUUAAAAAAAAAAAAAAAAAGUUCUCCUUGUUCCUUCCGGGGAUUAUAAAAAAAAAAAAAAAAAAGCACCAAUAGAAUUAUAAACAAACCGAAAAAGUAGAAUAAAAACAGAACAUUGGAAAUAUUAACUUACAAUUUACAGUUAAAAACAGAACAGAUAGAUAUCGAUACGUACAUUAAAACAUUGGAAAUAUUAACUACUUAAAACAUUAAUUGUUUCCCUAAUGCAAAUGAGUCAAACUUUGUUCAACGGAUAGAUAUGAAUACGGGGAAUAUGUGCAAUCUUGGGCCACUCUGCACCACUUCCUUUGGUGCAUCUCUCUGCUAAAAGAGGACACCUGGUGAUAGAUAGAUAAUUUAAAUUGGUGAGGUGUCGCAUUGCUUCGGCAGAGGGCAAUUGUCUGAGGUUAGAGCAAUUACUAGUCACCAAUUUUCGAAGAUUCCGAAGGCUACCCAUCCACUCUGGAAGAACUUCCAACCCCUCAAACCUGCAAAGAAGUAAAGUUCCCAAGGUAGAGAGAUGCUGAAUUUGGUCUGGGAGAGACGUGAUUUUUGGCCAUCCAUACAAUCCAAGACUCUCCAGAGAGACGAGAUUGGUGGUGGAGUGUGGCCCCGGAAAAUGAUCAAGGUCGUCAGAGAAGCCACCGAGUUCCAAGUACCGGAGACUAGGGAAUACCUUAAUUGAUGAAGAAGAAUUCGAGGGAACCAUUGCAUCUGACCACUCCUCUAGACUUCCCAUGUUCCGAAGCACAAAGCGCGACAGUUUCGGAAACAGAGUGACUGGUUUCCCAUCUCUAUUACUACAAGAAGCGCUGCGCCUUGCAUUAAUAUCGAGACCAUAGAAUUCUGCCCCAAUGCGCUUCACAUUGUGUAAGGAGACCAUCUCUAAGGACUCGAGACAAGGCAAGUCCCCUAGUGGUGGUACUUGUUCACACUUACCCAAUUCCUCCAACGUGAGGCGUACCAGAUUCCGAAGUACCGUCACGCGAUCCUUUGCCACCAUCCACGACGGAAACCUUGAACCUUUGAAACCACUAAUGGCUAAAUCUUUCAAGUUUGGGUGAGGUUGGAGACCUUCCAUGACACUGUUGAUGUUGUCGUCACAAUCUUCUUUCGUGCCAUCCCAUGAAAGUCUUAAACCUUGAAUGCUUGAUUUUUUGGACAAAUUUGCUUUUGCUGCGGAUUCAAAGCUGCUCACAUUCUCAAGUCCAAAAAUUUUUAGCUCGCCUCGGAGGUUGCGCAAGCAUUCCAACUCCUCAAGUUGACAUCCCUUGGCUUGGCUUAUCCUGAAGUGGGGCAACGUCCGAAGAUUAGCCAACUGCCCAAUCCCUGGGAAAAAACAUGAUUGGCCCAUAGCAGAUGAACACUCGAAAUGCCUCAAGUUAAUUAAAUUGCUAAACUUCUCAGGUAUCUCUUUCAAGUAAUACACUUUCAAGGUCAUCAAAUCAAAUUGUAGAGCUUUGUGAUGGAAUCUGGCAGAACGGUGAUUUUUGUUCGACUGAUAUCAAGAUGUAUUAAAUGUUUCAUAUCACCCACUGCAUUCGGGAGAUGAGUAACAAACCAGCAGUCUACUAUUAACACAGAAAGAUAUCUAGACCUUUCCAAAAUGUCUUCGAGCAUGAUACCAUCACCCCCAAAAUAAUAAAGCGUUUGCAAAUUUGGAGGAAUCCCUUCGAUAUUCUUUAACACCUUCCCUCGACUCCCAAUGACGGUCAAAUGCAUAACUUCAUCAUCAUGACUGACCACCAUGCCAUCCUCUGUAUUUAAGAAACAAUUAUUUGACACUUGCAGUGAAAGAUCGUGCACAAGGUGGUGCAUCCGGCAGGACAUGAUUCCGUUAGUGGAAUUCUCAGAAGUAGCUUGCAACAAAGAACUCCGAAGCAAUACGUUGAAAUAGUCACUGCCUAUAUCCUCCAUUUGCAAAUGACCUCCUCCCUUGGCAUCAUUGAUCAACCCCUGGGCCAUCCAAAUCUGUAUCAAGCUUUCUUUUUCCAUUUUAGUGUCCUUCGGGAAAAUGGAACAACUUGCAAAGCAUUGUUUCACUGACAAUGAAGGUAAGUUCUCAUAACUCAGCUUCAGGGCAGACAUGACUCGUUUUGCAAUAUCGGUCGACUCGUUCCAUAUUUCACUCUUCUCAAGCUUUGACCAUUCCAAGGCAUCCUUUUUGGAAUACAACAAACCCCCAAUCACUUUGAUCGCUAGUGGCACGCCGCCGCACUUUUUCAGUAUCCUUCUGCCAACGUCCACCAGAUCUCGAGUCUUUCUUGCACCACCGUCUGCAAAUGCUAGUUUUUCAAACAGCAUCCAGCUAUGAUCAUCUGAGAGGAUGUCUAGAUGAUGCAAACGAGAUGUUUGCAUUGCUGAGGCUACCUCAUCACUACGUGUGGUAGCCAAUAUUUUGCUUCCUGGAGCACCCCCAAUUGCCAACAGACAUAUCCUCAUGCGAUCCCAUUUCAGUGGAUCCUCAUUCCAAAUAUCAUCAAGUACAAGCAAGCAACUUUUACCUUUCAGAUUUUCUUGAAGCUUCCUCACCAAUGCUUCCGUGUUUGUCGUGUCAGCACUUUUUCCCUCGAGGGAUUGUAGCAUCUCAUUCAACAGCCUUUCCACUUUGAAAUCAUCAGACACACACACCCAUAUUGUUUUAUCAAAGUGCUUCACUACACUGUCAUUUUUUAGCACCAUCUGUGCGAGGGUUGUUUUACCCUGGCCACCCAUCCCAACUAUUGAGAUGACAGGUAAAUCCUUCUUAAAGUCUGAGCUAAUUAACAUGCUUACAACUUGAGAUACCUCAACCUCCCUUCCCACCGUUUCUGACUCGUCCACAAAAGGAUCAGUCGACCGAUCCUCUUUGUGAUCAGCAGAUGUCAUGGGUAGUUGAGCUGGAUGAAGCCCGAUCUGAUUUGCUUCUCUGUAAGCUUCCUCUAGAGAUGCGCUAACAUUCUUGAUCUUGUUAGCCAUCUCUAGACGAAAGGAAAUAGGAUUUGAGGAAGAAAAGAAGUUGCGUACCUUGUCGCGCUUCCGAUUCUCAACCUUCUGCCGCAGAACUUCAUAUCCGAAGUCAUCCAACACGAUCUCAGCAUCACGUGCUAUGGACUGGAGCCUUUUGAGCCAGAGCUGCACGGUUUUGGUUGUUGAUUGCUUGCAUUUAGCAUCAAAAAUCAAAGCUUCCAUCGUCCUUACAUUGUCGGCAAGCUUCUGAAGGUCUUUCUUUACCCCCCAUGCCCGGCUGAUCUCGUCGGCAGCAAGUGGAAGUAUCUUAUCCAAGAUCACACUAACAAAACUAAGCACGGUGUCAGCCAUCUUCAAGGGAAACUCUUUAACAGAUGAAGGUAAAAUGCUUUGUUUGAAGUUGAACAGUUGAACUAUAUUUUUUGCAGGCAGAGAUGGUCAACAUUCAGCAGCUAGCGUUAGAAAGCAGGGAAUCCAUUACUUAUCUUCCAUUUCACUUUUAACAAAACGAAAUUUCCUACCAAGUUGGAAAACUAAUAAAAAAUAAAAGUACUGCUCCAAGAAAAGACUAGAGAUGAUGUCCAACGACCAAUUCAGGACCACACGGCUUGUGGGUACCAUUGAAAUAAUUGAAUCCAUAGACCAAACCAACUUUUUGUUCUCGUGGCAGCAUUCAUGUAUUUGGGUAAAGUGACUACUACACUUGCAAUCGAGUAAUGCAACUUUGCAUAUGUGACAAAACUUAUCUGUGCCUAUGCUUACACUACAUUACCCCAAUGUUCUCAUAAUUCAUUGCCUAACGCUGGAGAGAAGUGUUAAAAACAGAAAAAAAAAAAAAAAAAAAGAAGAAGCUUUGUUUCUUUCUUGAACAAUGCAAUGCAGCAGCAUGUAUCUUCCACUUAUUUUUUUUGUUUUUCUUUUCCGUGGCUUUUGGUUGGGUCUUCACAUGUUAAUGCAAAAUAUGGUGCUUAUGAUAACAAUAACUAGAAUGGUAUAAAAGUCUGGUCGGAUGCAAUGUGGGUCUCGUUUGGCAAAUGAAUUUUUGAGCGUUUGUUUAAAAUUUUACUGUAAUUUACUAUAAAAGUUGUAAAAAAAAAUUUUAAGAUAUAAAAACUUUUAGAUAUUUUUAAAUGCAUAAUUUAUAAACUUUGAGAAAUUUUUUUAAUGUACUACUAUAAUUAAAUUUGCUAAAAAAUUUGUAACAAAUAAAUUAAUUUGUCAAACAGGAUUUUGGAACUCAAAAGAAGACAUGAGUAAAAGAUUCUCAGAGAAAGGGUGUGAAAAAUUAAAGAAAAGAUUUGCCCAACAUUGAACUUUCAACCUCUAGAUGCUCAGAAUGGUCUAUACCUAUGACUAAGUGUGCCCAGACAAGAUCCUACAAUAUAUGCAAAUGCCUAACCAUACAUCCAAAUCGUGGUCUCCACCAGCACAUGUUCAUAAAGCAACUACUGACUCACGGCACCAACCAUGAAUGUGGAGGGCCGGGAAUCAAAUUAUUCCCAUCUACUGAAUUGAUGGAAAUAUAUCAGCUUGAUGAGAGAAUCAAGAAAAGAAACAAGAAUGUAAAUUCCCAUGGACGCAUCACAACAGCAUUUGGUUGUAUCAUUUGACAAUUUCAAUACCUAAAAAGAUCCUUUGACUAAAAAUGACAAUUAACAACACAGUCAACCGAAUAUUGCGAAUAUAAUACAUACACUACAAGGUCUUUCAUUCAUUGAAUCCAAGAGAAGUUUAUUGGCAGACGCUAUGAGCCGGAGAUGUUUCGAUUUUUCCUCAGUACAUGCAAAUAUUAUCAGGUACAAGAAGCUAGUGUUGAACAGAGGACCAAGAGUUUGUCUCUAACCAAUUGAAGGCUAUAGGGCUCAAGAACGCAUCAGGAAUGCCAAAGGAGCUGACUAACGAAAGUGCAUGCGGUCUCAGUUCCCCACAAAGCUUUGCAACUUCUUUUCUCACUGCUGCAGCAUUGUCUACUGACAGGAAGCCGUAUCGGAGAAACGCAGAGUCUUCUUCCAAGGUAACGAGGGCAUACAUGGAUCUCAAAAGACCUAAUAUACUCUGCAAGAAGGUUCACAAUCGAUUAACCAUGCGCUGUAAGAUGAUAGUUAGCCAAUGGAUGUUGUUCAUCUUAUUUGUAAACAUUCAAUUAUCAACUAGAUACAGAAAAUCGUAUCAAAAUUUCCAUCCACACACAACAUGAUACUUCUCUGAAGUUUCCUAAACAAAGCCAUAACAAUCUGUGCUAUCAUUCCUCAAGAGGAGGAAUUCUUCUGUUACUUGUGUUUUUCAUAUACGAAGGUUAAGUUGGACGCCAGAGGCUUCAGUGUAGGACACAUUACACCAGAACACUUCAUGGGUAUGACGGCUUCUGUUUAAAACAUAUGGACAUACAGAAACCGCAAAAUGCUUAUAGUUUAUGCGGUGGCUAUUACCUUAAGAGUGGCAUCCGUUACAGUAGUCUCAGCAUCCACAAAAGUUUGAAAAAUUGCCCGGUCGGAAAACGCUCUGCCCAAGUCUUCAGCGAGCUGAUAGCUCUGGGAAGAUGGACACAGUACCCUUGAGAGAGAGAGAGAGAGCAGGUCUCACAAUGGAACUUAUAUUUAAGAAGAGAAUCUAACCAUUACAAAAGCGUGUUCUUUGCUCUCUCCUUGUGCUUGGCGUUGUGAAAUUUCAGAAGCAAAACGGUUCAAUAGGUCUCUCUCUCUUAGACAUCACAUAUCAUGCUGUGACAAAAAUGUAUCAGAGAAUUUACAACUUAUUUCAAGAGGAAUCAACUUAACGAGGAAUGAAAGAAAAGCUUCAUCACCUCAAAGUCAAUGCUCCUCAUGACAGUACUUGUUAGCUGAGAAGGUAUAACGGGGGAAGUCUUGUUCAUGUGCUCUAAACCCAACCCUUCGAAUGGUUUAUUCCGCUUUUUUGCCGCUACAUAUUCUGCCAAGAGUGCCUUACUUGUUAUAAAACUGUAGUAAAGAACAAAACUAUACUAGACAAAUAUAGAGACUUUGAGGCGUGAAAGCACUUUCCUUAAGGUGUUAUUUGCCUCUAUUAGACAAAUUACCUCUAGGAUACAACAAAGUCUAAGAACUAUCAAAUGAAAAGUAAAAGUGAUUUAAUUCUGUCGAAAUCCUACUAUUUAAAAGGAUUGAAGCACCUAUUCAAGGCACUAUCAGAGGAUGCAAUCUUUAUUGAAUAGGCGUUUGGGUAGUUAGCCAAUUAACAGAUAUGUUUGCAAAAUGUAACCGCCAACCGCCAUUAACUACCUCUGAUUGACACCCUUUCAGAAAGCCCCAAGGUGCCCCAAGUGCCCAAGUGCCCUUGUCAAGAUUUUAUAUAUCUUGAAAUAAGUUUCCCACCAAACUUUCCCUCCAAACUAUUAUCUUGGAACAAGUUUGUAAAGGAAUAGGACAAUGACUCAUAUAUAGGCAACAUGCACUUUAUCCUCUUUCAAUGUGGGACAAUGGAUUUCAACAUACUCAUUACAAACUAUUACCAACAAUCCCCCACUUAGUUUGUAAUGAAAUCAAAUCAGCACUCAUAUUAUCUUGCAUAGAGAAAGGUGUUUGUGAACUUAAACCCUUCUCUUAGUGUAAAUAUUUCACUUGUUCUAACAAGUUAUGGUGGCUACAUUGCUUAAACCAUAACUUUAAAGUUAAAACAGAAAUAGCACACACAAGAUUAUACCUUUUCGGAGAAUAGUUCACGAAAUGAUUUUAGCACUUUUACUGGCCGUGUGCUCCAUCCUAGAUUCAUGAUCAUUUACAAAAGAAAACCCCCACUUUUGCUGGGAGCGGCACCACUCCCAUGAUCAUAUAGGUGAAGUACAUUUCUAGCCUUUAUUACCAAGGCACUAUGAAACCAUAUUUAACUUCAUUAAGAGUAUGAUACUCAGCCUCUUAUGUAUCAAACUGCACUAGUACCUUGGAAUGGUAUGAUACAAUUUCUAGUGCUCACAACCACUUAUUAGUAACUUGUUAUUACCCUUUAAACCUUUCACCUAGUGUUAGUGCUAGAAGAGAGGUUGGGUUACCAUUACUAGUGGUUUUAGACAAUGGGUUUUAACCCCAUUCCCAAUGACGUUGCUUUCACUACAUCUCUUGAGAGAGCUUUAGUGAAUGGAUCCGCCAAAUUGUUGAAUGAUCUAACAUACACUACUGUGACUAUGCCAUCAUUCAAUAAUUGUCUGACAUAUUCAUGUCUUAGACUUAUAUGUCUAGAUUUGUCGUUAUAUAUUCUAUUUAGUGCUCUAGACAUAGUGGCUUCGCUAUCACAAUGCAAAGAAAUGGCUGGCAUCGGGUUUGGCCACAACUCGAUGUCUAACAGUAAGUUUCUUAGCCAUUCGGCCUCUUUGCAUGCAGCUGCUAAGGCUACAAACUCAGCCUCCAUGGUGGAAUGAGUUAUGACUGUUUGUUUCUUUGAUGCCCAAGAAACAGCUCCUCCACCCAACAUAAAAAUCCAUCCAGAAGUAGAUACUUUGUCACAUACACUGGUUACCCAACUUGCAUCGGAAUAACCUUCAAGUACAACCGGAAAUUUGUUAUAGGAAAGCUCUAAAUCUUUUGUCCUUUUAAGAUAUCCAAGCACUCUACCUAUAGCUUUCCAAUGCUCUAUACCAGGAUUCUUAGUGUAUCUAGCGAGUCUACAAACUGCAUAUGAAAUAUCUGGCCUAGUACAAUGUGUAGCAUACAUUAGGCUACCAAUUGCACUAGCAUACUCUAAUUGAGCAAUUGGCUUUCCAGAAUUUUCAAACAACUUAAAGUUAGGAUCAUAAGGAGUGCUUACUUCUUUUAUCUUCAAAUGUUGAUACUUGUUCAAAACUUUCUCAACAUAAUGAGAUUGACUUAAAGAAUAGCCCCCACUAUGUCUCUUAACUUUAAUUCCUAAGAUAGUAUCUACUUCUCCAAGAUCUUUCAUCUUGAAUAUAGAAGACAAAUACUUCUUAGUUUCUUCAACGCCUUUGUAAUUAAUACCAAUAAUUAGCAUGUCAUCUACAUAUAGACAGAUUAUCACACCAUACUCUCUAGUAAACUUGGAAUAAAUACACUUAUCAGCAUUAUUAUAUUUAAAACCAUUAGAGAGUAUAGCAGAUUCAAACUUUUGAUGCCACUGUUUAGGCGCUUGUUUUAGACCAUACAAAGACCUUGUUAGUUUGCAAACUUUCUUUUCAUUCCCUGGUAGAACAAAACCUUCUGGUUGAUCCAUAUACACCUCUUCAUUUAAGUCACCAUUUAAAAAGGCCGUUUUCACAUCCAUCUGAUGUACACACAAAUCAAACAUUGAAGCCAAUGCUAAUAGUACUCUUAUAGAUGUAAUUCUAGCCACUGGUGCAUAAGUAUCAAAAUAAUCGAUUCCCUCCUUUUGCCUAAAUCCUUUUGCUACUAAUCUUGCCUUGAAAGUUUGUACAGAUCCAUCAGUAGCAUAUUUCUUUCUAAAUACCCACUUACAGCCAAUUGGUUUAGAACCCGGAGGCAAAUCAACUAGGAUCCAAGUAUUAUUACUUAAUAAUGAAUCCAUUUCAUCAUUAAUUGCCUCUCUCCAAAACGAUGCAUCUCUCGAUUUCAUAGCUUCACUAAAAGUUUUAGGGUCAUCUUCUACAGUUAACAAGAUAGGAAUCUUGUCAAGUAGAAACUGUCUAUCGCCUUCAACUAGGAAAACAAUAGCUUGUGAAUCUAUAAAAUCAGAGGAUAAAUGUUUUUCUUUCCGUUGCCUUUGACUCCUCCUUAACUCACUUGGAAUGUCCCCUGCAUUCCUUUUAUUAUUGUUGGAGGGUCUAGCAUUGGAAACAGGCGGUGGCUCUUGGCUUGGAUCUGUACUCAUUGUCGAAUUAUAAAGAAAUUUACCUUCUAAAAAUUCGACAUCUCUAGAUUCCACAAUGACGUUAGAAUCUAAAUCUAGCAACCGAUAUGCUUUUGAAUUUUCAGCAUAGCCUACAAACACACUUUUAAGUGCUCGAGGUCCUAAUUUUGUCCUUUUAUGAUCAGGGACUCUAUAAAAGGCUAUACAACCCCAAACUCGAAAAUACUUCAAUUUUGGUUUUCUACCUUUCCAUAAUUCAUAUGGUGAUACCUUCGAUUUAAGCGAAGUUACUCGAUUAUGUAUGUGACAAGCAGCCAGUAAGGCCUCUCCCCACAAAUUUUUAGGCAGUCCAGAACUUAUAAUCAUGAAUAUAGAAGACAAAUACUUCUUAGUUUCUUCAACGCCUUUGUAAUUAAUACCAAUAAUUAGCAUGUCAUCUACAUAUAGACAGAUUAUCACACCAUACUCUCUAGUAAACUUGGAAUAAAUACACUUAUCAGCAUUAUUAUAUUUAAAACCAUUAGAGAGUAUAGCAGAUUCAAACUUUUGAUGCCACUGUUUAGGCGCUUGUUUUAGACCAUACAAAGACCUUGUUAGUUUGCAAACUUUCUUUUCAUUCCCUGGUAGAACAAAACCUUCUGGUUGAUCCAUAUACACCUCUUCAUUUAAGUCACCAUUUAAAAAGGCCGUUUUCACAUCCAUCUGAUGUACACACAAAUCAAACAUUGAAGCCAAUGCUAAUAGUACUCUUAUAGAUGUAAUUCUAGCCACUGGUGCAUAAGUAUCAAAAUAAUCGAUUCCCUCCUUUUGCCUAAAUCCUUUUGCUACUAAUCUUGCCUUGAAAGUUUGUACAGAUCCAUCAGUAGCAUAUUUCUUUCUAAAUACCCACUUACAGCCAAUUGGUUUAGAACCCGGAGGCAAAUCAACUAGGAUCCAAGUAUUAUUACUUAAUAAUGAAUCCAUUUCAUCAUUAAUUGCCUCUCUCCAAAACGAUGCAUCUCUCGAUUUCAUAGCUUCACUAAAAGUUUUAGGGUCAUCUUCUACAGUUAACAAGAUAGGAAUCUUGUCAAGUAGAAACUGUCUAUCGCCUUCAACUAGGAAAACAAUAGCUUGUGAAUCUAUAAAAUCAGAGGAUAAAUGUUUUUCUUUCCGUUGCCUUUGACUCCUCCUUAACUCACUUGGAAUGUCCCCUGCAUUCCUUUUAUUAUUGUUGGAGGGUCUAGCAUUGGAAACAGGCGGUGGCUCUUGGCUUGGAUCUGUACUCAUUGUCGAAUUAUAAAGAAAUUUACCUUCUAAAAAUUCGACAUCUCUAGAUUCCACAAUGACGUUAGAAUCUAAAUCUAGCAACCGAUAUGCUUUUGAAUUUUCAGCAUAGCCUACAAACACACUUUUAAGUGCUCGAGGUCCUAAUUUUGUCCUUUUAUGAUCAGGGACUCUAUAAAAGGCUAUACAACCCCAAACUCGAAAAUACUUCAAUUUUGGUUUUCUACCUUUCCAUAAUUCAUAUGGUGAUACCUUCGAUUUAAGCGAAGUUACUCGAUUAUGUAUGUGACAAGCAGCCAGUAAGGCCUCUCCCCACAAAUUUUUAGGCAGUCCAGAACUUAUAAUCAUGGCAUUUACCAUAUUUCCUAAAGUUCUAUUUUUCCUUUCUGCCAAACCAUUUUGUUGCGGAGUAUAAGGUGCACUAGUUUGGUGUAUAAUUCCAUUUUCUUCACAAAAUUGAGAAAAAUCAGCAGGGAGAUAUUCCCCACCUCUAUCACUCCUCAAAAUUUUAACCUUCUUUCCUAGUUGAUUUUCCACCAGAUUUUUGUAACACUUAAACAUAUGAAAUGACUCAUCUUUCGUUUUCAUCAAGUAAACAUACACAUAUCUUGAAUAAUCAUCAAUGAAUGUGAUGAAAUACUUAUUUCCUCCUCUUGUUAGAAACCCAUUAAAUUCACAAACGUCAGAAUGAACAAGAUCCAACAAUUCAUUGUUUCUUUCUACUUUAGGAAAAGGUAAUCUGGUCAUUUUUGCUUGUAUGCAUGUUUCACACCUUUUUUCAACAUUAUCUUUGAACGAAAUUAGCCCAUGUUUAGACAUAAACUGUAAAGUUUUAUGAUUAGUAUGCGCUAAUCUACCAUGCCAAAGAGAAUAUGAAGCAUCAACAAUAUACACAGAAACAUUAUUUUUAUUGAUACAUAACUUGAACAUUCCAUCACAAGAGUAUCCCUUGCCUACAAAUACACCAUUCAAAGAGAAGAUAAGCUUAUUAGACUCUAUUACAGCCUUUAGCCCCUUUUUGUUUAAGGCAUCAGCCGACACAAGAUUUUUCCUAAUUUCUGGAACAUGAAGUACAUUGGCCAGUAUAAGUUUCUUUCCGGAAGUAAACUGCAAGUCUACACUUCCUAUGCCAAUGACCUUUGCUGUAUCAUGGUUUCCCAUCAAUACUUUAUGACCAUCAGGAACUUCUUCAUAAGUCUUGAAUUGGGACUUAUCAUUACAAACAUGCACGGUGGCACCAGAAUCAUACCACCAGUCACACGAUUUGGUUGCAGCAGCCACAUGCAACUCAGAAAUCAUGCCAAUGUUCCAAUGCGAAAUCAUUGCAACAAUCUCAGCAACAUCUUGUUCAACCAGAUUUGCAUUUUUGGCAUUGUCUUUCUUUUGCUUUUUGUUGCUAUCUGCCUUGCACUCACGCUUGUAAUGUCCCUUCUUGCCGCACUUAUAGCAGAUUCUAUUCUUCUUCUUGUCCUUAGAUGUACUUGCAUCUGGAGACUUUCUUUUGGAACCAGAAAAAUUCUGUGAAUUCUUCUCACUUAAAGCAUUCACUUUGACAUCAGAUUCUAUUUGCUUCUUUUGAAGAUUUCUGGUAUCUUCUUCAAUACGCAAAUGUUUCAAAAUCUGAUCUGUAGUGAAUGAUUCAGUAGUAUGGAGCAACUUUUUCUUAUAGUCAUUCCAACUAGUUGGAAGUUUGGCUAUAAUUGCUCCAACUUGCAAGGAUUCAGAUAUCUCCACUUUCAGAUCAUGUAACUUAGACACAAUCACUUGGAGAUCAUGAAUCUGAUCCAUAAGAGAAGAAUUCUCAAUGAUACGAAAAUCAAAAUAUUGCAUAAUCAGAAAUUUAUCCGCACCUUGUUUCAUCGUAUUAUACUUGUAUUCCAGCGCAUUCCAGAUUUCCUUUGGCGACUUGACUGCAGUAUACAGAUCAUACAAGCGGUCAGAAAGAGUGUUCAUGAUGUGUCCUCUGCACAGCAACUCGUCCUCUGCGCGUUUCCUGUGUUGUGCCUUGACUUCAUCAGAAUCACCAUCUUUAGGUUCUGGAAUUUCAGGAAGAGAAGGAUCCAAAACGUAAGCAAUCUUCAAAGCCGUCAGGAAAAACAUCAUCUUAUCCUUCCAACGGGAGAAGUUAGUGCCGUCGAAUCUGUCCAACUUCACGAAGUCCUGAUUCAUCACUUUGAACGCAGAUUCAGAACUUGACUCCAUUGUUGAUAAUAACACCUUAAGAUUGUUAUAAAACUGUAGUAAAGAACAAAACUAUACUAGACAAAUAUAGAGACUUUGAGGCGUGAAAGCACUUUCCUUAAGGUGUUAUUUGCCUCUAUUAGACAAAUUACCUCUAGGAUUGUCAAGAUUUUAUAUAUCUUGAAAUAAGUUUCCCACCAAACUUUCCCUCCAAACUAUUAUCUUGGAACAAGUUUGUAAAGGAAUAGGACAAUGACUCAUAUAUAGGCAACAUGCACUUUAUCCUCUUUCAAUGUGGGACAAUGGAUUUCAACAUACUCAUUACAAACUAUUACCAACAUUACUAACCUGGCACCAGACAUCCCAUUGUUAGCUGCUAGCAUUAGUUGCAAAAUCAACACAUCAGUCAAAGAGUGCCAUUUCAAAUUACUAGCAACAUGAGUGUCAUGAACUGGAUGACAUUUGUCAUAUGGCCUUAGGAAUUUAGUUUGAGAGUCUGAUGCAUGGUAAACUUACUAGAGCAGAUGGCUUUGUUUCAUUCUUGAACAAAGCGAUAGAGUAGCAUAUAUAUUCCACUUCAAAAUUUUAAGAAAGAAAAUCCACUUGUUGUCUAUCGUCUCUGAGAAUCAAGAAAAAUAGACACGUGCGCUUUGCGUCCUGCCUUGCAAACCAGCCAAAACUCGCGGGAGUCACACAUGUGAAGUGAAACCCUUUUCAUGGCUGAGAUUGAGACUACUGACUGAAUAUUGCAAUUAUAAUAUACACAGUACACGAUGCAUAAUUCAAAUGAUCACAUUACAAGGAUUUCAUUCAUUUAAUCCAAGAGAAGUUUAUAUAAUGACCGAAUUUAUUGUAUUGAGAUAUCUGACAUUUCUGCAGUUAUUUUAGCACUAGAAUAAAAUAAAGGGAUAAUUGCAGAAACCUCCCCUGAGGUUUCUGACAUUUGCACUGACCUCCUCUGUUGUUUGAAAAAUUACACUGACCUCCCCUGAGGUUACUAAUCCUUUGCAAAUUUAGUCUAAACAAUUAAAAUAUUAUUUUAAGGAGUGAAAUUAGAAUUUUGUACCAGAUUUGCCUUUGUGCCAUAUAUCCAAUGAAUGACAAAGUACUAUAAAUCAAUUAACAAUUAAUAAACUUUAAGGAGUAUAAUUUAUAGGCAAACACGCAUUACUCAUUUAAAGUACCGGCUCUUUAUGAGUAUUUUACUUUCAAAUAUUUAAUUUAUGAUAAAUAUAUCAAUAUUUGUAAGUAAAAUUCAAAAAUUGUUAUAGUAAUAUUCUUGCAAAAAGGAAAUCAAUAGGUUAUUUAUGUAAUAUAAAUUAGGGAGAACUGCACCAAUCGUCCCUCACAUAUUACAGAUGUGAAAAUUUAGUCCCUCAAAACAAAAAUGAUCAGAUUUAGUGCCUAACAAAUAAAAAAUGAUUACCUUUAAUCCUUUUUCACUUUUCCGAACAAAUUUUGGCCGGAAUUCAUUGGGUCCACUUGCAAUGCCCAAUUUUUAAAGGGUAAAUUUGACAAAUCACCGUUGACCAAUUAUGCGAAGGACCAACUUUGCAAAACUUUAGUUAAACAUUCAUUAAAAAAAACAAAAAAAUUAACCCACCAUUAUUUGCAAUUCAUCUCAACCCAAAAUCUUAAUACCAAGCAAUUCAAACAGUAUAGCAUUGGCCUUAAUAAAUCUCACCAUUGUGCUCAAGUAAAUAAGUAAUUUACUAAAAUCAAUCUCUGAUAAAAAAGCAUGUACUGAUACUAGCACUAGUAUAAAGUCCUUGCCGUUCAAAUUUAUCCACCGCUUUCAUUUCUUAAUGGCCGCCUGAGCUUCUUCCCAGAAGCCAUUAUCACAAAUGCAAAGCCCUUGUUUUUAUCAUCUUUUUGCUUUAUAAUUUGCCACAUCCAAGAAAAACAAAAACCACCCCUCAAAAUCACUUCUUCAACAAAUUCAUCCAAGAAAAAAAAAUAGAAAACAUGAUUCAAAAUGACUCCUUUAACAAAUUCAUCGAGAUAAACAAGACCCACCAUUUAAAAAUCACUUCAUUAACAAAUUAUGUAGGACAAACAAAACCCACGAUUUAAUGUCACUUCAAUAACAAAUUCAGACCCAAAAGAAAAAAGAACAACCAACUAAAAUCAUUUCUUCAACUUCAACAAAAGUAUCCAAAGUAAAUUCUUUAAUAGAAAUACCAAACUCAUGGAAGUACCUCAACAUCAGUAACAGUGCCGCAUUCAGCAAAGAGGUUCUUGAUAUUAGCAACGGUGAAAGACCAUGGCAAAUUUAGCACAAAAAGCUUUCUUUUCUGAUUGGUUUGUGGGAUUGACUCUAUUUUUCCUUCGGUUGGCUCUGUUUUUUCUUCUACUGUAACAACUUCUUCAACUGUAGAGGUUGAGUAUAUUUGGAAUCUUGGUUUUAUCGUGAGUGCAGUGGAGGGAGGGGAAAUAGUGAACGUUUUAAGAAAAAAGAAAAGGCACAGGUGAAAAUGGGAAGUUUAAGGAAGUGUAAAGAGCAUUUAGGGGAAGUUGACGGGAAGGAAGAGGAAGAAGAAAGUAUGAAAAAUGCUGCUGCUUCAAUUACAACCAUUGCUGCAAAUUCUUUGGUUUAGGAUUAAAAAAUACAUAUCGUAAUCUGGAAUUCUGGUGUUGUCUUCUUCAUUCAUUAGCUUGGUUAGCCUUUCUCUUACAAGUCUUCAAUCAUCAAUUUCCUUCAGAUGAAUUUCAAUCAGUUGGGAGUUUGCAAUUCGGGUUUGUUUUGCGUUGAGAUGAAUUGCAAAUAAUGGUGGGUUAGUUUUUAUGUUUUUUUUUUUUUUAAUGAAUGUUUAACUAAAGGUUUGCAAAAUUGGUCCUUCGCAUAAUUGGUCAGUGAUUUGUCAUUUUUACCCUUUAAAAAUUGGGCAUUGCAUGUGGAUCCAAUGAGUUCCGGCCAAAAUUUGUUCGGAAAAGUGAAAAAGGAUUAAAGAUGAUCAUUUUUUAUUUGUUAGGCACUAAAUAUGAUCAUUUUUGUUCUGAGGGACUAAAUUUUCACAUCUAUAAUAUGUGAGGGACGAUUGAUGCAGUUCUCCCUAUAAAUUAAAUAUUUUUUUUAAAAAAAAUAAAUGGCCCAUAAAGUAUUAAUUUUUUAUGGCUUUCAUCCAUUACACGAGUAAAGUAUUCGCUCUUUAUGUGCAUUUUAUUCUGAAUUAUUUAAUUUACGUUAAAUACAUAAAUGUUUAUAACUAAAAUUGAAAAAGUGUUAUAUUAAUAUUUUUACGGAAGAGAGAUUGUUAGGUUUUGUAUUUAACAAAAAUUAAAUAUUUGAAAGUAAAUACAAAUCUGUAUUUGAGCGUAAAUAUUUGUGUUAAAUUAAAUGUUUAAAAGUAAAAUACCCUUAAAGAACCGGUACUUUAAAUAGUUACAGGCUCUUUAUAGGCAAACACGCAUUACUCAUUUAAAGUACCGGCUUUUUACGGAUAUUUUACUUUCAAACAUUUAAUUUAUGAUAAAUAUAUCAAUGUUUAUAAUUAAAAUUCAAAAAGUGUUACAGUAAUAUUCUUGCAAAAAGGAAAUCGGUAGGUUAUUUAUUAAAUAUAAAUUAAAUAUUUUUUUAAAAAAAAAGAAAUGGCCCAUAAAGUAUUAAUUCUUUAUGAUUUUCAUCCAUUACAUGAGUAAAGUAUUGGCUCUUUAUGGGUAUUUUAUUCUGAAUCAUUUAAUUUAUGUUAAUACAUAAAUGUUUGUAACUAAAAUUGAAAAAGUGUUAUAUUAAUAUUUUUACGAAAGAGAGAUUGGUAGUUUUUAUAUUUAACAAAAAUUAAAUAUUUGAAAGUAAAUACAAAUAUGUAUUUGAGCGUAAAUAUUUGUAUUAAAUUAAAUGUUUGAAAGUAAAAUACCCAUAAAGAGCCGGUACUUUAAAUAGGCAAUGCGUAUUUGCCUAUAAACUAUACUCCUUAAAGUUUAUUAAUUGUUAAUUGAUUUGUAGUAUUUUGUCAUUCAUUGGACAUGUAGUACAAAGGACAAAUUUGGUAAAAAAUUCUAAUUUCACUCCCUAAAACAAUAUUUUAAUCGUUUGGACUGAAUUUGCAAAGGAUUAGUAACCUCAGGGGAGAUCAGUGUAAUUUUUCAAACUACAGGGGAGGUCAGUGUAAAUGUCAGAAAUCUCAGGGGAGAUUUUUGCAAUUAUCUCUAAAAUAAAUUAGUAGUGAUUGAACAGGUCUAGUUCUUUUUUGCAUGAUCUCAGCUUUUGUUAAUGUUGAGUCAAGUCGAUCAUUUGACCGAUCACCUCAUAAGUAGCUUGCUAGCUCUGUUUGAUUAGUUUGCACCCCUAUUGCAACUUGUAUCUUUGACUUGCACCCACACGGGGUCAAAAAUUUAUGAGUCAUAUUAAUUUGGUAAGAGCAGCUACAGAUCCUCAAAAUGCGCAUUUAGCAAAUCUAUUUGGAUCCUUUAAUAUUUCAAAAAUUAGUUUUUCAAAUAAAAAUUUUUAAAAAAUAUUCUAAAAAGUAGUCUAAAUUUUUUUUAUUAUUUAAAAAAUAUUUUAAAAAAUAUUUUAAAAACUCUGCUACUCUUAAAUAUUCCAAAAUACUUUUUAAAAAUAUCCUAAAAUAUACUCUCAAAACUCUGUUAUAGUAAAUUUUUUUAAAAAUACUUCCAAAAAUAGCUAAUGGAAACGGAGCUGCCUGAUCAAAGUUCCAUGAAAGUAUUCUGGCUCCCAGUUUAAAGGUUUUUAGCGUCUGUGCCAAGUCACUAAAUCAAGUCUUGAAUUUGUCAUCCGUGCUACCAGCUGGCCAGAAGUUGGAAAUAUGAUGUCCUCGUCAAGGCGCUCCAGUUCUAAGACUUUGUGCUUAGGAAUCUCAACUUCUUUGGGCAAAUUUUCACAGACGACCAAUUAAAUAAUAUCUCAUAGAAAAAAGCAAGGAGAAUUAAUCCCUAGCUCUGCCCUUUUUUUUGGGGCAACCCCUCACUCUACUUAGUUUCCUCCACGGUAAAAAUGUUUCAUUUGCCCAAUUUGGACAAUAGUGCAAGAUUUCCUAUGUGCUCAAAAACUAAUUGAGGUAAUAAGCAGGUUUUCUCUUCUGGAUGCCGCUUCUUUUUACUUCUUCAAAAUUCAAAUGGCACCUGAGGAUGCUCACAUCGGCGGUCCCUGUAUGGCCGAGGUGAUCUCAUUUCGUCUCUCACACGGGCGAAAUCUUGUCCUGCACAUGACUCCCGAGCUCGGCCAGGUCCUGGUCUCCUGCUUAGAUAACCUCUGCACCUCAGGCUUCCACCUCGAUUGCCGCUGAUGACGUCAACCCACCUGACACCAUCCGGGACCAGUGCUUUAUCUGAAAAGCACCUGAUGCUCUUAAUGGCUACUACAUGAGCGUCUCCGUCACCCUGCCCAGGCGGCUACAGUGUCAGAGUCAGACCUCCUGACAGGAAACAGAGUCAUAAUGACAGGACAUGGGUCCCACUAGCAUGAGCCCUCCGUCCUGUCCUCCACCCCUGCUCUAUAAAUACCCCUCAUGUACUUCCAACAAGUAAGCAUACUGUUCAUUCACAUAUACUAUUGCUUUUCUCUCGUUCUCAUAUUAACUUGAUCGUCGGAGUGAUCCCAGGGGAGAAGUCUCGCCAUUCACUUCGGAUAAGCAAAUACACUUCACUUCAUCUGAGAAGGGACUAAUUUAAGUCGGUUCAGUUACCCACAAAAAAUCACCUCUUCAGCACCCAUCAGGGAGCAAUGUUGCAUCUUCGUGUAACUUCUCUCUCUGUUUGGUCUGUUAUUGUUUGCAAGAUUCAACCCAUUCAUAUUUUGGGCCAAUUGGAGUGAUCUGUCAGAGUCAAAAAUUUCAGAAUCAGCAGCAGCAACAACAACAACCCCCACCCCCCCGGGGGGCCAAAAAAAAAAAAGAGAGAUUUUGGUCCUAUAUUUCUGUGUCACUGUCCAGGCAGCCUUUCGUUCUUUGUCUGAAUAAUCAGUUUUUUAUUCUCGUAGGCGGGAUCAAGAUUUCUGGUCAGUAUCAUGGUCAAGUAGAGAAGUUCUUUAGGAUCAAAUGCAGUUGCACCAUUGGCUCAAGAAAAAUACCUAUAUUAGACGGGAGUAUUUGAAAAGAAGAUUUUCAUUUCAAAUUUGUUAAUUUUUAUUUUUUUAACAGAAGCACAUGUCUAUUGUAGUAAUUUGAUAGCAGUGUUCACAAAAUGGGAAAAAAAAAGUGAAUUUUCAUAAUGUACUACUUCAAUUAUCAAAUGUCUAGUGCUUUAAAGUUUUCUAGAUUAAUGAAUCUUUUCAGUUAGAAAACUUUUAAAUUACUUUAAUCAGUCUUUUUAACAACUAUAGAGCUCUUUAGAGUUUGCAUAAGUUACAGCUUGAUAAAUAAAUAAAUUUAAAAAAAAAAAAACAGAAAUGCAACUUAAACGAGAGCAGGUAAUGCAUUAGAAAAGAAUGUUCAGAACAUAAGAGAAUGCUGAGUAACUCGAAUAAUUAGAAAGCAAACGAAAAUGAAGAAAAAGGUGUUCAUUCAUUUACAUGCAAAGAAGUUUAUAAUGAGAAUACUUGCUGGCAGAAACCACAAACCUGAGAUAUUCCAAAUGCUGUUAGCAUGUCAUACAUGGAGAAUCAAACAAGAAGCUAGAUGAGAACGGAGAAGCAAGAAUUUGCUUUCAUCUGAUUGUCAUCUAGAGGGCUUAAGAAAGUCUCAGGACUGCCAAGAGAGCUGACAAAGGAAAGUUCAGGUGGUCUCAUUUCAUAGCAAGCUCUGCGACUUCUUUUCUAUGUCUAUUCACCCAUAAUAUAACAGGGCGGGCACACAAUCACACAUGGACCUCAAGUAGCCAUGAAAGCACCAGAAACGAUUUGAACAACAACGAUCAAUUCAGGUGCCCCCUUGCAGAUAUCAGUGUAUUCACAAGCAAAGCUUGAUGCACCUGCAGCAUGAAUUGAUAGACAUCAGUUAAAUGGAUAAGCAGUCUUUUGCUGAAUCAAGAAAAAUUUAACAGAACUAUGUGUUAAGAAUUCGUUUAGCGAUUAAGUGCCAAAAUCUAGAUGAACCUGACUGAUUUCAGAGAAAAUUUUCAGUUGUUCCUAAGGCUCUGCAGGCUGGAGCUGUCAGAUCUUUAUUGGCCCGAGAACGACAUGGAGGAUGAUUACAUUACAGAGCACAAAACUAUCUCUACUGCAUUAAGCAAAAAGCUAUGCUUGUAGUUUUGAGCAAUUGCUACCGGUAAAGAAUCCCAGUAAUCCACAAUGAUUGACAACGAACCAACUAUGCAAAUGGGCGAUUUAGGAUCAGAUGCAUAUGCACCUGCGGCUAAGCUACCUUUGGCUCAAGGGAAAUACCUAUAUUAGAUGCGAGUAUUUGAUACGAAAAUUUACACUUUGCUCCUAAUAAUUUGUAAAAUUUUGUAUAGCAGCACAUGUCUAUUGGAGUAAUUUGAUAGCAGUGUUCAUAAAAGAAAAAAAAUUUGAAUAUUCAUAGUCUAUACUACUGUUAAGUACUAAAGUCUAGUGCUUUAAAGUCUCCUACACAAUUUAAUGUGACAGGUUGUCGAGCCUGUACAAUAAUAAAAAUAGAACCUAACUACCACUAAAAGCAGUCAAUGAUUAAUCCUAGGUACCGGAACAAGGACUCUAGGUGUGCAAUGGGUUACUUGAUUCACCCUGUUCGCAAAGAGUUUGUUUAAUCUGAUAUACCAGAAUUAAUUAGUUGAUAAAAAUUACUAAAUAGUAGACAGUGGCAAAUAGGGUCGUCUUCUCAGGGACUGGAAAUAUUCGUUUCUUUAAAAUUCCUCGAGCUCACGAGCUGCUCACGAGUCAAAAAUUCGAGCUCACGAUUCGAGCUGCUCGCGAGCCCGAAAUCGAGCUUCAGCUCGCGAGCCAUAUCGAGUCGAGCUCGAGCCUAGUAUUUUUUAGUCGAGUCGAGUUCGAGCUCAAUUCUUUAGGCUCGUCGAGCUCACCUAUUUUUAAGUCGAGCUCGGCUCGAUAAGUCCAAAACUCGACUCGACUCGGCUCGUUUGCAGCCCUAUAUAGAAGUGUACCUUACUACUAAAUUUAUAACAAAAUAUAGCACGCGGCUGUACAUAUUUAAAGCAAGCCUUCUAAACCGGAAAAUACAGCUGAAUGCGGAAGUUUUAGGGACACCAAUGGUACAUAUAGUUUGAAAGACUAAUUCAUCUAUUACUCAAACGACAAAUUUGCCUGUCAAUUAAACAUACAACAAGAGUUGCCAAAAUCCUUUUUAACCACGAUAUCCCGCCUUCUUUGUCAUGCACCAGUUGCGUAUGCACUGGUCCAUUCCUUUGCUGCAAAUUACCAACAAAGACAAACAUACCCGUAAGCAAGCAAAGAGAGAGAAGACAACGGCAUGAACCUCAAUACGAAAGUUCUUAACCACCAAUUUAGCUCUCAUGGCGCAUCACCUGUUUCAACAGCUUCAGACUCAUUUGACUUCCAAUGCUUCGCAAUGUUAUCCGCAAGGGAUCAUCUGGAUUUGGCGCACUAAGAAGAGCUUGUAUGCUGAAUUCAGACAAGGUCUUGGUAUUAGCUUCAUCCACAUAUUUGUUAAGAACUACUGAAGCAGCAAAGACAUUUCAAAGUCAAUAUAUGACUGCCCUCCUUCACUUGCACAAGUCAUAACACUACCAUUUCUAAAGUUUCCAUAAACUCCACCUCCAAUUUAAUAAGGUUUAAAGAUAGAAAUAACAAGAAUUAACCACUAUCAGAAGGAACACAGUACUGCCUGUAUGAUCUAAGUUCAGAUAUCCAAGUCUGAAUACAAAGCAUCAAGUUUUUGUUUGAGGGAGAAGACCACUAACCUUAAUAAAACUGUUCGGAUCUGGAGAGCUGGACUCCAUUUGUCUUUCAGAAUGUCAAGACAUAUCCUUCCCAGCUAAAAGAAUGAAAUAACUAAAUUUAGCAUAAAAGGAGACAGAGCAACACUAGAAACUCAGAGAAGAUGCUACUUGCCUUGUCAAUGUUGGGAUGGUAUAUUUUAGUCAAAAAGCGAACCUACAAGUAAUAACAAAAGCUUCUAUUCAAGUAUUAUAGAGAAAUCAUAUGACUUGUUCAGCCAUGGAAUAAAAUUAUAUGAAGUUUGUAUAAUUGGUCAAGACCUGACCACAAAACGUCAAUGGUAGAAUAGUACCAUUACUGAUUCUAACAAUCCAAAAGAAUGAAAGCAGGCUGAGAUACAGGAGAAUGGGAGGCGUACAAAACCAUUAAAGACCAACGAUAUUUCCAUUUUAAAUGCUUAAGAAUCUGAUUGUAGACUUGAAGAGUUAUAUUGCAAACAAAGUAUUGUGAAGUACUCACUAACAAUCUACCCAAGCUUUAGCCCAUCCUGACCCAAUUAAAACUUUAAAACAAAAAAUGACAGCUGAUAUGGAAAUACCUUGGGUGGUGCCAUUGGAUAAUCUUCAGGUAGAAACAAUUCCAACUUGAAUACGCCUCCUGAUUACGUGUGAAACAUUAACAGCAUAUACACAUAGAACUACACAAAUAUCUUCUUUAUGACCUAUAAAUUAUUGCAAGCACCAAAAAGCUAAAAUAUGGUAGCCAGUUUCCGCAACUUGAGCACAACGUAAAUUGCACAACUCAAAAUCUGCAUCAUUUGCUUACUCUUGGUUGUUCCGGUUACACUUUGAAAAAAAAAAAUUCAAAGAGAAUCUACUCCUACAGUGAAAUAACUGAAGCACUUCCAUGUUGAGUUUCGCUUAGCAAAGGUAACUACGAGAGUAGGUACAAUGAGAAUGAACCAGGUUCCAUAAGCCCAAUGUGUUCCACAGGGCCGAUUAAUCCUGAUUGUAACUCAAAAAUUUGAUUGAUAUGAUACAUUACAUAUCGCCUAACCUUGAAGUGCAAAUACUCAUUUUGGAGUGUUAUAUCAAUUAAAAAAAGAAUUUUCAAAUUUCUUUUAACCACAAAUUUCCAGAUAUCAGCUAAUCCACAUUGCCACCACUACAUCUCCACCUUAUAUCACAAUAAACAUGUAUAUCAACCACUCUAUUCACGGUAACUCUAAUGCCCAAUUUUACAUUGACAGGGAUGGUAGGACAUCUUGCAAGUCUACCAGUUAUAGUAGGCAACAAAUAUUUCAAACAUUUACAUGCAUAAACUUAGUACUACCUUAACAAUGAAAUUAUUUAUGUUCAAAUUUAAAUCACCACAACCAGUUUAGCAUUAACGGUACAAGACAGUCACCUUAAUUAGGUUAUUCAAGGACAUCAUACAAGUAACUUCAUUGGACUAACAACUGCCCACAACAAAAUUCAACGAAGAACAACCCCUUAGCGAGCUUUCCAGACAUAAUCACAACUGAUAAUCAAGAAAAUCAAAAGUCAGGGAAUUGAACUAUAAAGUACCUUCAUACGGAGAUUGUGCAGGGCCAAGUAUCAUCACAUUAAAAUGCCGCAUGUUGUCUUCCGAAGGCGACGCGCUAAUUCCAGGAGCUAAUUAACACACCAAUCAAACCAAAAAACAUUUCCAAAAGAACGAAAAUCAGAUAAAUAACUUACAUAUCCUAAAGCUAAAAAAUUCUCACAUCCAUGAUAAUUCCAAAAAUCACACAUUACCAGGCAGAAAACUUUCACAAUACAGUUCAAAUUACAAAAGCAGAAUAUUCAUAGCUGGAAUUAACUAAACCAAAACGACUGAUUACUAAUCUUGCUGAAGUAAAUUGGACUGUAUACUGAGUUACCGACAUGGUUCACUGAGAAGACGCUGCGUUUCCUGCACAAUAAAUAGCAUAGAAAAUUGACAACAAAACAGAAUUAGAUGAACACAAAUGCUACUUCAAAAAUUUUAUACAUAAAUUCACUAUUAAAAGAGGGGGAAAAUUGCGCGUAUUAGACAUGUAAAUUAGAGAUUGAUUCGUUGGACUUAAAAGAUGCAAUAAAAACAAAGAUUGAAGGAAAAUUUACCUUGAUAAUUCGUCUCGGUAAAUUGCUAUUUGCCAUAAUAUUCGUAUUUGUGGCGAGCGCAGGAUCGGGGAGAGAGAGAGAGAGAGAGGCGCGCCAAGGGAGGAACGGCGAGGGAAGAGUAUAAACAAAUGGGUUUUCUACCGACAAAGGGCUUUUAUCAAAUUUAUUACCUACCAUCACUGCCUUAGUUAUUUACUUAUAUUAUAUAGUAUCAUAGGUAAAAAUCGGUCUCUCAAUUGUUAUUUUGUAUCAUUUGGGAUUUAAAUAUUUUACCUUUUGUAUCAAUUAGGAGGGUUAGAGGGAUGCAUUUUUUUCCCCUCAUUUUUAAAUACAUUAUUGCAUAUAAAACUCGCUUAAUAGAUUUUAGAAAUUUGCUUUUAUAUUGAUUGAGAUUUUAAAAAUAUUUGUAGAAAUAUUAAAUAGUAGUAACUAAAGUAAUGUCUAACUUUCAAGAUCAUAAUGUCCUACAGCUUUUUAUCUUUCUUUUGUUGAAGGAGGCAAAUUAAUAGUUACCGUGAAUUAAUGGGAUUUUAUUGAUAUUUAAGUUUGCUUCAAUUAUAUUAUUUAUGAACUAUUUUAUUUAGUUUUGAACUUGACUUCACCGGAAAUCUUCAAUGUUAUUGUUUAUGUUAUCGUUUGAUGGAUAUCUACUUCAAACCAACUUUUAAUAUUCGUAGAAUCAAAUUCAAGUCCAGCGUUCAGUAUUUAUAGUCAAAUUCAAAUCGAAUUCAAAAAAACUAUAUGAAUAUAAACUUUAAAGGUCAAGACUGAAGUCUAUAUAAUAAAAUCAUUUGUCUAGUGUGAAUAUAAAUUGUGUUUCCAUUAAUUAUUUUCGGAUAUGAACCAACGAUUUGCCGGGCUAUUGCCUAUCAUAAAUGCCUUAAAUUCCGUUCAAAAAUUCGAGUCUUAUCUUCCAUUACUUAUUACUUAAUAUAUAACUUCUUCUAAAUUUAGUGGUUCCAUCUAUCCUUGUUGGUUCCAUGAUCGUCUUGGACCUAUUCUCCUUUCCCGUACAUGUAAUGUCAAUUAAAAAAAAAAAGUUACUUUCGUAAUUUAGCCAGCUUUUGGGCCAUGAUCCCCUGACCAGAUGUUUUGUUUAAUAGGCCUCAGGCCCUUUCAUUGGACCCAAGUUUGGAGGCUGUAUAAUGGUUGGAGCAUAUUAUCUUGGUUCUUGGCUACUUACUAUUUUCCUUUAUUAUUUAUGGUGCUGUUGAAGUUCUAAUCCCAGAAGAUUAUAAUGGCUAAAUUUCUUACUUCACUAGGGUAAUUCAAUUAUUUCAUGUUAACUAAUAUCUCUCCCUCCUUCUGUUUUCUCCCCCCUUUCACAUAAGAUCCGAAUUUAAUUAUUAUUAUGGAACUACAAGAGAAGAGAGAGUGAAUAAUAGGGAAAUAAAAAAGGAACCCCAUAAAGAGAAUUGCAGGUAGCUGAUUUAUUAUCUUGAGCUGAACCAGCAUGAAGAGCAAAAAUGUUGUUCCAUUUUAGCCAGUCUACAUGAUGGCAACUUAGUAACAGUAAUGGAUGACUCAUUUAUUCUUUGUCUCAGUGCUGUCUCCAGCAGCAAAUUCUGGAAGGAAACUGUUGCAUUUGUCCUGGGAAAAUACAGGUAAGUCUAGGGCAGCAUCUGCAAUAAGCUUGUCCUCAUCAGUUAUUUCAACAUUGUUGGUGUUGCCCUGGAUAAUAUGCAGUACAACUGUUAGAAGAUCCUAAACCAGAGAGAGAGAUGUAGAAUUUAGAAGUGUCUUCUCAGUUACCAUGCAACUGGAUCCUCUGAUGAAGCCGACUAUUAAUAGCUCCAUUUCCUCAUCAUACACGUUCUCAUUGCUUCCAUUAAUUAUGAAUGCUUGCUGAAAAGGAACACGAAAAGUUAAACUCAAACUGAAGCUCUGAAAGAUCUGUGUAACCCACAGCCAAAAGUUGAAUUGGAAAAAGUAUCAAAUGUUCAACGGAUAAACAUAGCUGAUACAUGCACUGUCUUAGUACUGAUUGGAAAGGAAAACUAUUGCAGUCCUGAUAGAGAUGGUGACCAUAUUAACAACUAUGAGACUAAUAUUGAGAAGAAAGAAAGGCUAUGAGGCCAGAAACUGAUGGCCCCAGGCUGUUCAUCGAUUUUCAAACAGAACAGAAUUUUUGGCUGUACAUCCAUUGACCAUACAAAAGGACAAAAAAGGGUUGAAUUCUCACUUGCCGUGAAUAGUUCCACCAUAGAGCCGACUGUGAAAAGAGUGACCAAAAAGAACUCAAAUCCAUUUCUAAACCAAGUGCUGUUGCACCUUUGGUCAGGUCAAGUCCACUCUGUGCCAUGACUGAUCAAAGCAGAGUGCAGAAUCUCCCAGUGGUCUUUGAAAGAUAAAAGUAAUAAAAGUUCUGACCGAAGAACACACGAUCACAAUCCUUAAGGGUGAUAUAUAUCAUAGCAUCCUGUUUAUUUAGUUAACAGAGUCUUUCCUGUGAAUUUACUCACAGGUGUUGAGUAAGAGGCUUACAUGACACCCCCUAUGAGCAUCAGCUCAAAGACUACCUUUUAGACAAAUCAUGUUCAAAAUCGAGAUAGUGCCAUUGUUUACUCACAAUUUUUCUCCCAUACGAACAGCAUUUACGCUCCCAGGUGAUACUGAUCACAAUCUUGAUAAUUUUGUCUACAUCAAGUCUUGCCCAACCAAAAUAUACACCUUGAAGUUGAUCAGGAAAACAUGUUCCAUCAUCUGAAUCCAACAGACUGUUUCAAGAUUUGAGGCAAAAUUUUCUAAAAUGACAACGCAAAGGAAGAGAAACAAUUUCAAUGUCUAAACCUCCAGUUGACUGACAAAUUAUACACCAACAGUACAUUCUUUUGUCAUGGACAUGCUUUAAAUCAAAAUGUGACAUGGAUGAAAUGGAAAGUAAUAUGUCUGGGUGACAUGUAGAUGAAGGCCACAUCUAGAACAUGUCUGUAAUAGAAGUUAAGCAUUCCAGAUGAAGUUUAUUGGUGAAACCUGAAAGUUCAUGGAGAAUCCACUGCUAUAAAGUGCCUUCAUCUGAAUGGGUUCAAUUGGCAAAGCAUUGCACACCCUGCAUCAUCAAAUCUAAGUUUAUUUGUACAGUAGAAAAGGGAUUACGAGGAAAAAUUAGACAUAUUGGAAUUAUUUGAUAGCAUACAAUCUCCAAAUGGUGGAAACCCCAUAGCUCUGGCUGAAACUCCAAUAGUGAGUGAAGAACAGAAUCAGCGAUAGAAAAUUUGUCUGUUUCAGUCUGGAGAGAUGGUACAGCAACACAUUCAUUCCAGCAGCCUUCCCUGCUUUAACACCAACACUGCCAAAAUUUGUGAAUAAUGACAAAUGAUGAUAGAAGAAAUCAAGCAAAGUUCACAAAGCAUGUUAAAAAGAAAGAUAUCCAGUAGUAAAAACAAAAAAUUUUGCAUGAGAAACUUCUAAAAUUACGGUGAAAUCAGAUACUGUAACAAGAAGAUAGAGAUUUCAUGAAACAUGAAUUAUGUCUAGUUUCCAUAAAAUGAAAAAGGUGAAUGUCACUUACAGGGAAUCUUCUAUAAAAGACAGUCAAGUGCCUGAACACCCAUAAUAACUGCAGCUUCAAGAAACCUGAUAAACAUAUUAAAGGAUUCAUAAACCAAGUAUAGAAAGCAAUCAAUUCAACCCAUAGAUGAUACCAUUCGUUUAUCUCACCAUAGAUAAACAUCAAUAAGCUGAUCAACAGUGAAUCUUUCCAAUGAUAUAUCUAAGUACAUUAGAGAAAUUUAUUUGUAUUUGGCUGUCAAUAUAGAGGACUCUCUUAAAAGCCUGAAAACCAAGUAAUGCUGAGACUCUGUAUUCUAAACAAAAAAAUAAACAAAAGGAUGACUCUUAGGGAAACUUAUGUAUGUCUUACAUGUCAGGUGCUGGUUUCCCUGAUUUGACCUGGUCGCUUCUAGGAUUACAGUAAGUAUUCUUUCCAUCCUGCAAUAACAUGAAACAUAGAUGCUAUGGAUCAAUGACUAAAUAAUUUAUUCACCUUCAAUCAAAGUAGAUUUUGUCCAAAAUUUCUGAGAAUCACGUGUACAACUAGGACCUAAUGUAUAAUUCCAAAGUUCCACAAGAUGCAUGGGAAGUGUGUGGAAAUAGAAGUGCACCUUGAAAAUGGUGAAUUUUUUCAGUAGUUCAAUAUCAAUUUAUGAAUCCCUAUUCAACUAUUCUUCAUGUUUCAGAGUAUAGCAUUACAUAGAUACGACUUGACAGUAGUAAGUUGCAGUUGAUGAAUAAUCAGGAUAGUUUCCUAAAAGCACAACAAACCAACAAAUAAAAAUGCCAGAGACUUUAGCAAAAUGCAUGCUUGGACAUCUUAGAUUUUCUCCAGAACUGUCUGAAGUUCUGCUGCCCUUUAGAGGGGAAUAUGACAUAAUAGAACUUGAAAAGUUAAGGAGCUAAGAUAAAUAAGUUCAAAAAGUUGUGCCUCUGAGAGCUAAGGGGUGCCCCCUAAUUAGUUCAUCGGACAACUAUAAUUUGAAGCAAACAUGGUACAUAUGUUUUAAGCAUCAAGAAUAUGUAGACAUUAAUUCCUAAAAUAAGAGGGAAGAGAAUUGCUGCAUGAGUAGGGAAUAGUACUUAGACAUACACAGAUGCAUAAAUCAAUUAAAACUGAUAGCAUUCAGCAACUAUAGUUACUUUGUUGCUAAGAUCUUUUAAUGCAUAAGCCAAUUCAAAGAAGACACAAUAAACUUGUAUUAUUAGAGAAUUGUUGUCAAUGCAAUGAUUACUAAAAGCAGCAUAAUCAGUUGAGAGGUUGAUUUCAAUCCUGGACCCACAUCAAAAUAUUGAAAUCUUCCAAUGAUUUACUUAUUCCUGAACACGACAAUGCUAAUUGAGAAACUCAGAGUGGAACAAAUUCCAAAAGAGGAAAAAAGAUGUAAAAACAUAAAAGAAUCACAAGCAUACAGUAAAAAACCAUUCACUUAAUGCAUUAUCUGAUCAACAUCUGGAGAGAAUCAAGAAACAAACCUUGUUGGUGUGAAAGUUUCACAUCAAUGUUUCUCCUUAAAGAGUUUGAAGCAAGUGCAAGGGGCACACCAUGUUUAUGGAGAUGUUGCAUAAGGCGAUUAGCACCAGGAAGUGGUUUAGCUUUCAGCCACUAAAACGAAACAAUUAUCUAAAAUCUACACUAAAGCCAAAGAAAUCCCAUACAUGUAGAGGACCAAAGAAAAAGAACUGAUUCAAGGUAUUUACUAUCAAAAUUCUGUACAUAAGCAAUGAAAUGAUUGAAGAAUUAUUGAACUGCUACUGUGUGAAUAAUGUUUGCGAUGAUUUAGCUUCAUGUCAAGCAUAUGAAUCCUUUAAGCAUAUUUCAUUUCAUCUUCUUAUCAGCAAUAAACCAUCACAAAUCAAUCAGAUUGGUUUAUCCAAGACUAAUAAUGUUUGCCUAUCCACCUACUCUAGAAUUUAAAUGUGUUUCUCACACAACAAAUCAAAUGUACUAUACUACUCUCUGGUUAUCCAGUCCACAUGGACUUCAUAAAAUCUAAGUGAAUAUGACUUCAAAGCCCCCUUUAUUGACAUUAAUAUGUUGGGAAAAAAAGGAAAACUUUCCAUCUGAAAAGGCAUUUCGUUUGGCUAACUAAUAAGAAAAGGAAACUUUGCGUUGCAAAGUGGAAUUCUUUCUCUAUCCACUUGGCCUCAUGACAGACUCUCAACAGAGGAGAUCAACUACAAUCAUAUUUCUGAAUGUGCAAUUAAGUACAUUGUGUCGUCAUUUUUAAAGAGACUUUCCAGGACGUAAGACCAUGAUCAAUAAAGCACAUUAAAUAAACUAGCAAUCACUCUAUAUAUGCUAAAACAGCAAUGCAGAGAUACAUCAUUUUAAAUUACUCCUACUAUACUUCCAAGUCAACCAUCAAUUACUCUUUUAGCGUGUUGAAACUCAAGCAAAUAUUUUGACAACUAUAUAAUAAGAAAUUGACAGAUGAAAGACUCACAUUCCCUGAUAGAGAGGCAUAAUUUCUUGGGUGAAUUCUUCAGGUGUGAGUGGAAGAUCAUAGUCUUUGAUAAUUGCACUCACAGACUCUUUUGAGUCAUCCCCAUUCUCCUAUUCUCCUUCUCCUUAUCUGCCACCUUCCCAUACCUUGCCAGAAAUUCCUUCAUGAUCCCCUCAGUAACUUGUUCUAUUAAAAAAAAAAAAAGCCACAAAAAUCAGAACCUCUUCUACCCACUAAAUUCGUUUCAAGAAAUAGCUCGGGGUAAGACUCGCAACUAGUUUUCAGGUCAAUGUCCUUGCAAACUCAACCAAAACGGCUAAAACAAAAGCUACAAAAUUCAACUUUCAUAGAAAGAAAACAUGAGAAUGAAACAUGAGGAGGAAGAAAUAUGACCUGUAUUCAAAAGGGUCCCAUCUAAAUCAAAGAUAACAGCCUUAAUUUGAGUCUUUGUCGGGCGGAAUGAAGAAUGAAGAUCACCCAUAGUUGUAUGCAAGAAAUUGCAAGAAUUUAAUGCUUUAGCUAGUGAUGACUGAUGAGUUCUUAUUAUUGCGUGUGUGUUAGAUGGGAUGCUCUGGGGUGAAAUUGAGCGCUGCGAUGUGUGAAAAAGGAGGAGAAUUUAAGAAGCAAAAAUUGGGAAGAGGGAUCAAUUCCCAUGGGUGCAAUUGGGCAAGGUGCCAAAUUGUCAAUUAGCGUAGAGAACUUGAUGGAGUCUACGUUGGAAUAAGCCAGUAAGAAAAUCGGUUUGGUUCCCGCUUUUUUCUGCUAUGAAGACAAACGAUGGUGGGAGAAGUUAGUGUUGCUAAUAAAAUUUGUUUGUGAAGGGCUAUAAACCAAAGGUGGGUCAAUAAUGGCAUGCCCAAGAAUGGUAUUUUAGUGGUAUAUGCUGAUGCGAAAAAAGAUAUCCAAUUUGUUCAUUUAUUCCAUCACCAUUUUUUUUUUUUUUGGGUCUAGGGGAUUUAAUUGCGACCCCCAACCCAGCAUCACCUUUUCUGUCCAAUCUACACAUCAAUUUUUAACGGAACAAGAGAGGACCAAUGUAUCCGGUUGGACCGGUAGUGAUUCAGUCCUUUCCAAGUUGUUCUUAGAUUUCUUCAGGCUCCCCCUUAGUAUAAAACAGUGUAGGUUUAUCGUGUCAGGCAAAAAAAAAAAAAAAAAAAAAAAAAGAGAGAGAGAAGACCAAUAUGAUUGGGAUGUAGAACCAUUUGGUAUGAUUGCUGUACUUUUUACAUUAUUUAAUGUAUAAUUAUAUUAUAUUAUUAUACUAAGAAUAAAAGUACUCUACAUGAAUAAAAUAUUAAACAUACAUUCAAUACAAUACCGUAAUAUAUUUGUACAUUAAAAUUUUAAAAAUCUACCACAAAAAAACACAAUUAUACUGAGCCUUUGUUUGAAUGGAUCAGGGGCUCCUCCUAUUGUAUUGUCAGGUGCAAUCGCAAAAUACAAUUUAUGGUCACAAAUGAACGAACUGGACCGUCCAAUACGAAAAUUAAUCAAUAGCAGAAAUGACGCUGAAACAGAACUUGUCAAAUUGUACGUAUCAAGUAUCACAUGCUGCAUUUGAUUAUCCAUUUCCUAUCUUUUGUGGGGAUAUAGGAAUUUUUAUAAAAAAAAGAUGCUCAACCAACCAGGAAAUCUGCAUGAAGUUUAAAAAUUUAAUAGUAGUGCUCCUAUUAGGUUAGUGGAACAUGGCAGCUCUUUUGUACUCGCCAUUCUCUCUUAAAUGUGAAAUGGGGAGAAAUGAUCACUAUUCCUAGAUGCAGUACUCUAUACAGAAAACUGACCAAAAGCAGCAUGCCUUGAAUGUAUUUUGUUGCAGAUAAAAAAACUUGAGAACUGAUGGACUUGCAUGUCCAUAUUAAUGGAUUCAAAGAGUAACUUCAUGUUGUAUUUUGUAACAAUUUGAAAGGCAAAUAUGCAAGUUUUACUAGAGCAUCCUUGAUACAAAGUAUAUAAUUUCUUGGAAGAAACAAGAAGAAUUUUCAACACCUUGGGUGCCUAUCCAAAUCCAACUUCGCCCAUGCAUCUGCCGCUCUGGCAUCCAAUGUCCAGCUUUAGAGAGGUCAGCGCAUACAUACAUCAUACUUAGUGAAGUUGGUGGAAGCGUAGAAAUUAUCACAUUCAAAUUGUUGUUCUUACAGAGUCUUUCAUCUCAAUUUUCAAGGCUUGCAUUUCUUCCCAAAGCAGUUAUUUUGCCAUUGAAUUCCACACAUAGUAACUAAAAGAAAGUCCCAAAAUUUAGGUGGCAAUGAAUUCAUGAUCUGACAUGGCCCAAUCCAUUAAUUAAUUAAGGAAUGGACUAACUCCACUCUGACAUGGCCCAAUCCCAUUGUCGCUUUCUCACCUUACAUCUUAAACUUUAAUUUUGAACGCUUUGCACCCUAGGAUCUCGAUUUAGGACACUUUGCACCUAAAACUUUCAAAUUUAUCCUAUUUAAAUCUAAUCAAUGACAAUUUUAACAAAAUUAACGGCAUAGAAGAUUCAACAAAUCAAUGACAAUGUGCCGAAAGUGGUUAAAAGGUGCGCAGAUAUCGUAACAAAUAUAAAACAAUACAUUUUCAUCAAUUUGCUUCAUCUUUUAUCUCGUUAAUUUUGCUAACAAUAUUUAGAAAUUGCGAUCAUAUAAAUCAAUAACAAUGUACUGAAAGUGGUCAAAAAAGCUAAGGAAUUGUAGUUAGAACAAAACUAUACAUUGUCAUUAAUUUUUACUAUUCUAUAUCUCAUUAAUUUUGCUAAUAUAAUUAUUGCUUAGACUUAAAUGAGACAAAUUUGAGGGUAGAUGGUGCAAAAUGUUCGAGAUAUAGAGUGCAAAAUGUUCAAAAUUAAAGUUUAAAAUGCAAAGUGAAAAGGUGAUACAAGUUGAAGGGUACAAAGUGGAGUUAGUCCUUGAGGAAUUUGUGGUACUUGUAGUAAAGUGUACGUCAAUCGAAGAUUUGAAAAGAAGAAAAAUGAAAAAGUUUUCUGGAAAACAUUGAAGGGCCAUCGGAACAAUCUUAUGGGACUAUUGUGAUAUCCUCGAAAAUCAUUUGGCACUAGACUUAUAGUUUCUGAUGCAAAGAAAUACUACAAUUUAACAACGCAACACCCAAGAGACGCCACAGAACUGAUUUGGUGCCGUCAGGCAAAUUACAGAUUCUUCUGAAUGCCAGCAUUCCACUUCAGGACGCAUUUACUCCACCGUUGAUAUGAAAAGACGAAUAACUAUUCUGGGUUCAUUUCUUGAGGGCCCAGGUGUCUGGACAGCAUAUUGUGGAACAGAAGAUUUGCCAAUGUUAAUGGUCUCUGAUGCAGAGCAGGAGACAUUAAACUGCAACCGUUGAUCAGUGACUGUCUUGUCUCGCUCGUUUAAUGUUGGACAACGCAAUUAACUGCAGAAAAUCUAGAAGUUCAACGGUUCUGAUUUACAGUCAUGCAUUCGGGCACCGACCGCUUCCAGCAUCUUUGUUUUGGGUAAUGUAUUACCUUUUUCAGUGACUACCUACAUUUUCAGGUAUGGAACAUGGAGCGAAGCCACCUUUAUAUCUCAGUUUCCUAUUACCAUCAAAACCCUUGCAAGUCUUCUCGUCAUGUCUACUGGAUCUUUUUCGCAUUUACCUUCAACCCAAAAGCAGCUGCUUUACCCAAUUGAAGAACAUUUCCAGAUCAAAGUUCCAGCUCCAGUUGUUCAGACCAACUCCAUUAACAUCAGGAAUUUAUUGCCUCCAUCAAAACACAUGCUUCUGCAUCUCAGCAAAGAGGAUGCAGGUCUCUUAUUUAACUAAAACGUAAAAAACGAACCAUACAUAAGCUGUCCAUGCAUAUGCAGAACUUGUCAAUUGUAAUGACAUCAGAUAAAUGAAGUUUGAAAGGACGGCCAGAGCAGACAUCAUCACUCUUGCGGUUGAGGCAGUUGACUGAAACCACACUACCUACAGGCCAAACAAUGCUCUAAAAAUUGGUACACAAUUUAGGGAGGAACCCUCCUGGGGAUUCAAAUCAAACCACAUACAGACAAUAAAUUCCAUGAACAAGCUAUAACAAGACAACA
rnacentral:lncRNA from 1 species